GAUGAACGCUGGCGGCGUGCCUAAUACAUGCAAGUCGAGCGAACAGACGAGGAGCUUGCUCCUCUGACGUUAGCGGCGGACGGGUGAGUAACACGUGGAUAACCUACCUCUAAGACUGGGAUAACUUCGGGAAACCGGAGCUAAUACCGGAUAAUAUAUUGAACCGCAUGGUUCAAUAGUGAAAGACGGUUUUGCUGUCACUUAUAGAUGGAUCCGCGUCGCAUUAUCUAGUUGGUAAGGUAACGGCUUACCAAGGCGACGAUGCGUAGCCGACCUGAGAGGGUGAUCGGCCACACUGGAACUGAGACACGGUCCAGACUCCUACGGGAGGCAGCAGUAGGGAAUCUUCCGCAAUGGGCGAAAGCCUGACGGAGCAACGCCGCGUGAGUGAUGAAGGUCUUCGGAUCGUAAAACUCUGUUAUUAGGGAAGAACAAAUGUGUAAGUAACUAUGCACGUCUUGACGGUACCUAAUCAGAAAGCCACGGCUAACUACGUG
rnacentral:rRNA from 1 species